rnacentral:rRNA from 1 species
AGAGUUUGAUCCUGGCUCAGAUUGAACGCUGGCGGUAUGCUUAACACAUGCAAGUCGAACGGAAACGAUGGUAGCUUGCUACCAGGCGUCGAGUGGCGGACGGGUGUGUAACGCGUAGGAAUCUGCCUGAUAGUGGGGGAUAGCCCAGAGAAAUCUGGAUUAAUACCACAUAAUCUCUAUGGAGUAAAGGAGCCCUCUUCUUGAAAGGUUUCGCUAUCAGAUGAGCCUGCGUAAGAUUAGCUUGUUGGUGAGGUAAAAGCUCACCAAGGCGACGAUCUUUAGCUGGUCUGAGAGGAUGAUCAGCCACACUGGAACUGAGACACGGUCCAGACUCCUACGGGAGGCAGCAGUGGGGAAUAUUGGACAAUGGGCGCAAGCCUGAUCCAGCAAUACCGCGUGUGUGAAGAAGGCCUGAGGGUUGUAAAGCACUUUCAAUUGUGAAGAAAAGCUAAUGGCUAAUACCCAUUAGCCUUGACGUUAACUUUAGAAGAAGCACCGGCUAACUCCGUGCCAGCAGCCGCGGUAAUACGGAGGGUGC